AUUGAACGCUGGCGGCAGGCUUAACACAUGCAAGUCGAACGAGUGGCGGACGGGUGAGUAAUGUCUGGGAAACUGCCUGAUGGAGGGGGAUAACUACUGGAAACGGUAGCUCAUACCGCAUACCAUCUGAUGUGCCCAGAUGGGAUUAGAUAGUUGGUGGGGUAACGGCUCACCAAGCCGACGAUCCCUAGCUGGUCUGAGAGGAUGACCAGCCAAACUGGAACUGAGACACGGCCCAGACUCCUACGGGAGGCAGCAGUGGGGAAUAUUGCACAAUGGGGGCAAGCCUGAGGCAGCCAUGCCGCGUGAAUGAAGAAGGCCUUCGGGUGGUAAAGUACUUUCAGCGGGGAGGCGUUAACCGCAGAAGAAGCACCGGCUAACUCCGUGCCAGCAGCCGCGGUAAUUC
rnacentral:rRNA from 1 species